rnacentral:misc_RNA from 1 species
CAACCCUCAAGCCCCUCGGGACUUGGUGUUGGGGACCGGCCAGCCUCGUGCUCGCCGCCCCCGAAAUAUAGUGGCGGUCUCGCCGCAGCCUUCUCUGCGUAGUAGCACAAUCUCGCACCGAAGCGCGGCGCGGCCAUGCCGUAAAACCCCAACUUCUGAAAGU